rnacentral:lncRNA from 1 species
AAGCCUUACAUCUCAAGUGUGUGAGCUAUCUGGAAGGGGAGGCUCACAAAUGCAGACGCUGCGGAGAAGGGGACUUCAUUUCAUUUCACCGCCACACUGUGGAAAUGACGCUGGGGAGCACUGAGUCUCAGGAAAGCAGUUCUGAGCAGCACAAGGAAUACCCAUUCAGCGAAGCAGCCUCACUGAUCAUUUACACAACCCUGAAAAGGCUUCAGGCACCCUCAUUUGAAGGGAUGGAGAGAAAAGCUGUCACAGCUGAGGCUUCCCUAACCAGCACAUGCUCCCUUGAAAGUGUCCAGAGGACAACUGAAGGGAGAAGAAAUUAGCUUUCCUGUACCAGCAGGGCCACUGCCUUUCCUUAUUGUGGCAACUUUUCAGCCUGGACACUGCUACAAACAGCAAAAAGUUCUGUCGCCUGGCAGCACUCAUGAAAGUGAACUCAGCAGAGGAAUCGGAUGAUGAGAGCCAGAUCAUUUCAUCCUAUACGGAAUUCUCACUCUGCUGCCAGAUGAUGGGUUACCAAGAUGAAUGGAUGAAAUAUGAGCUGAUGGCCAUCCAGCGUAGCUCUCACCUACAGGUUGUCGGAGGAGGGCUAUUAACAACAGUUAAAUUAGCACAAUCACUGGCCUAUAUGAAGCUCUGCUUGGGUAACCUGCCCCUAUCUAUUCAAUUAGGUAAGUCUACUUUCAUCGUAUACUG